AUAAACUCUAUAAAGACAGCUAAAUGGCCGCGGUAACUCUGACCGUGAUAAAGUAGCAUAAUCACUCGUCACUUAAUUGGUGACUGGAAUGAAUGGCUAAACGAACCCCCCUCUGUCUCCAAGAAAAUUCCGGCGAACUUGAAAUGACAGUGAAGAUGCUGUCAAGCAACUGUAAGACGAAAAGACCCUAUCGAGCUUUACUGGAAGCUUGCAGAUUUAAAAGGACGUUAACCUGCACGUCUUCAAAAACUGCAAGCCCGACAGUUUGGUUGGGGCGACCACCCCUAAGAAAGUAUCAGGGGAACUCUAAAGGUAAUUACUAAAUGGAAAAUGCCUUACUGAAAACAAACAAGUCAACCAGUUACUAUAGGUAGGACAUAAUGACCCGUUACAUCAAUCACGAAAUGUAACGACCACGAAAAAAGUUACCGUAGGGAUAACAGGGUAAUAUUUUCGGAGAGUUCAUAUCGAUGAAAAUGUUUGCCACCUCGAUGUUGAAUUGUGAUAUCCUAGGGGUGCAG
rnacentral:rRNA from 1 species